AUUGAACGCUGGCGGAAUGCUUUACACAUGCAAGUCGAGCGGCAGCGCGGGGGCAACCCUGGCGGCGAGCGGCGAACGGGUGAGUAAUACAUCGGAACGUGUCCUUCAAGUGGGGGAGUAGCUCGGCGAAAGCCGGAUUAAUACCGCAUAAGCUCUGAGGAGGAAAGCGGGGGACGUGGUAACGGCCUCGCGCUGUUGGAGCGGCCGAUGUCGGAUUAGCUAGUUGGUGGGGUAAAGGCCACCAAGGCGACGAUCCGUAGCUGGUCUGAGAGGAUGAUCAGCCACACUGGAACUGAGACACGGUCCAGACUCCUACGGGAGGCAGCAGUGGGGAAUUUUGGACAAUGGGGGCAACCCUGAUCCAGCAAUGCCGCGUGAGUGAUGAAGGCC
rnacentral:rRNA from 1 species